UACGUAGGGGCAAGCGUUGUCCGGAAUCAUUGGGCGUAAAGAGCGUGUAGGCGGCUCGAUAAGUCUGCUGUGAAAGUCCAGGGCUCAACCCUGGAAGGCCGGUGGAAACUGUCGGGCUAGAGUCCGGAAGAGGCGAGUGGAAUUCCCGGUGUAGCGGUGAAAUGCGCAGAUAUCGGGAGGAACACCAAUGGCGAAGGCAGCUCGCUGGGACGGUACUGACGCUGAGACGCGAAAAGCGUGGGGAGCAAACAGGG
rnacentral:rRNA from 1 species